GUGACUGCAGUGUUCGUCCCCCCAUCUCUGCAGGGCUGUAUUGGGCUGGGGGAGGAGAGGGGCCUGUGACCGAGAGUGUAGGGCCGGCCCAUGGGAGUGAGAUGGGAGAGCACUGGGGAGCUGCUCCAAACCCACGAAGGGAGAGCUUUGUCCAGGCCAAAGCUGGCUGGGCAUGAGAGAGAGCUUCCCAUCACAGGAGAUGAAGAAGGGAAGUCACUUGCUUCAUGGCCAGGGAAGGGCUCCAGCAAGACAUGGGCUCCUGAAAGUGACAGUGUGUGAAGGCCCGGAGAGGCACAGGACCUGCUGGAGGAUGCCAAAGUAAACUUGGUGGCCACAUGUCAAAGACGGAGAUGCACAAAAUGGGAGGAACCUAGAUCCCUGAAUGACUUUGUGGAGCUGAGCCCCUAGGCCACCCUGCAUUGGAUGUGAAAUGAGUGAGAAAUAAACCUUUGGAGUUUCA
rnacentral:lncRNA from 10 species